GCUGGGGGAUUAGUGGCGAACGGGUGAGUAACACGUGAGUAACCUGCCCUUAACUCUGGGAUAAGCCUGGGAAACUGGGUCUAAUACCGGAUAUGACUCCUCAUCGCAUGGUGGGGGGUGGAAAGCUUUUUGUGGUUUUGGAUGGACUCGCGGCCUAUCAGCUUGUUGGUGAGGUAAUGGCUCACCAAGGCGACGACGGGUAGCCGGCCUGAGAGGGUGACCGGCCACACUGGGACUGAGACACGGCCCAGACUCCUACGGGAGGCAGCAGUGGGGAAUAUUGCACAAUGGGCGAAAGCCUGAUGCAGCGACGCCGCGUGAGGGAUGACGGCCUUCGGGUUGUAAACCUCUUUCAGUAGGGAAGAAGCGAAAGUGACGGUACCUGCAGAAGAAGCGCCGGCUAACUACGUGCCAGCAGCCGCGGUAAUACGUAGGGCGCAAGCGUUAUCCGGAAUUAUUGGGCGUAAAGAGCUCGUAGGCGGUUUGUCGCGUCUGCUGUGAAAGACCGGGGCUCAACUCCGGUUCUGCAGUGGGUACGGGCAGACUAGAGUGAUGUAGGGGAGACUGGAAUUCCUGGUGUAGCGGUGAAAUGCGCAGAUAUCAGGAGGAACACCGAUGGCGAAGGCAGGUCUCUGGGCAUUAACUGACGCUGAGGAGCGAAAGCAUGGGGAGCGAACAGGAUUAGAUACCCUGGUAGUCCAUGCCGUAAACGUUGGGCACUAGGUGUGGGGGACAUUCCACGUUUUCCGCGCCGUAGCUAACGCAUUAAGUGCCCCGCCUGGGGAGUACGGCCGCAAGGCUAAAACUCAAAGGAAUUGACGGGGGCCCGCACAAGCGGCGGAGCAUGCGGAUUAAUUCGAUGCAACGCGAAGAACCUUACCAAGGCUUGACAUGGACCGGAUCGCUGCAGAAAUGUGGUUUCCCCUUUGGGGUCGGUUCACAGGUGGUGCAUGGUUGUCGUCAGCUCGUGUCGUGAGAUGUUGGGUUAAGUCCCGCAACGAGCGCAACCCUCGUUCUAUGUUGCCAGCACGUGAUGGUGGGGACUCAUAGGAGACUGCCGGGGUCAACUCGGAGGAAGGUGGGGACGACGUCAAAUCAUCAUGCCCCUUAUGUCUUGGGCUUCACGCAUGCUACAAUGGCCGGUACAAAGGGUUGCGAUACUGUGAGGUGGAGCUAAUCCCAAAAAGCCGGUCUCAGUUCGGAUUGGGGUCUGCAACUCGACCCCAUGAAGUCGGAGUCGCUAGUAAUCGCAGAUCAGCAACGCUGCGGUGAAUACGUUCCCGGGCCUUGUACACACCGCCCGUCAAGUCACGAAAGUUGGUAACACCCGAAGCCGG
rnacentral:rRNA from 1 species